AGUGAACGCUGGCGGCAGGCCUAACACAUGCAAGUCGAACGGUAGCACAGAGGAGCUUGCUCCUUGGGUGACGAGUGGCGGACGGGUGAGGAAUAUAUCGGAAUCUACCCAAUCGUGGGGGAUAACGUAGGGAAACUUACGCUAAUACCGCAUACGAUCUGAGGAUGAAAGCGGCGGACCGCAAGGCGUCGCGCGAUUGGAUGAGCCGAUAUCCGAUUAGCUAGUUGGUGAGGUAAUGGCCCACCAAGGCAACGAUCGGUAGCUGGUCUGAGAGGAUGAUCAGCCACACUGGAACUGAGACACGGUCCAGACUCCUACGGGAGGCAGCAGUGGGGAAUAUUGGACAAUGGGCGCAAGCCUGAUCCAGCCAUGCCGCGUGUGUGAAGAAGGCCUUCGGGUUGUAAAGCACUUUUGUGGGGAAGAAAAGC
rnacentral:rRNA from 1 species